CUUCCGGAGCUAACGCGUUAAGUCGACCGCCUGGGGAGUACGGCCGCAAGGUUAAAACUCAAAUGAAUUGACGGGGGCCCGCACAAAGCAUGUGGUUUAAUUCGAUGCAACGCGAAGAACCUUACCUACUCUUGACAUCCACGGAACUUGCCAGAGAUGGCUUGGUGCCUUCGGGAACCGUGAGACAGGUGCUGCAUGGCUGUCGUCAGCUCGUGUUGUGAAAUGUUGGGUUAAGUCCCGCAACGAGCGCAACCCUUAUCCUUUGUUGCCAGCACGUGAUGGUGGGAACUCAAAGGAGACUGCCGGUGAUAAACCGGAGGAAGGUGGGGAUGACGUCAAGUCAUCAUGGCCCUUACGAGUAGGGCUACACACGUGCUACAAUGGCGUAUACAAAGAGAAGCAAACUCGCGAGAGCCAGCGGACCUCAUAAAGUACGUGGUCCGGAUUGGAGUCUGCAACUCGACUCCAUGAGUCGGACGCUAUAA
rnacentral:rRNA from 1 species